rnacentral:rRNA from 1 species
ACCUUUAAGCGUUGGAUCACUCGGUUCAUGGGUGGAUGAGGAACGCAGCAAACUGUGCGUCUUGGUGUGAACUCCAGGCCCCAUGACCAUGGCCAUUUUGAACGCAUAUGCCAGUCCAUGCUGUUAUGUACUUUAAUUAAUUUGGAAGUGCUGCUUGGACUCCAUAUGGUUGAGGGUGG